GUCUACCGCCAUACCACACUGAAAGCACGUGAUCUCCUCUGAUCCUGGAAGCUAAGCAGGGUGGGACCUGGUUAGUACUUGGAUGGGAGACUGCCUGCAAAUACCUGGUGCUGUAGGCU
ensembl:rRNA 5S_rRNA 5S ribosomal RNA